UAAUGGUUUAAAUUCUUUUGCCUCGAAGGUCCAGACAUUUGGUGUGCAGGUGCCAUGCAAGAAAAUAGACGAUUUGACAAGUGGGGUCGUAAUGGCACAAGUCUUACAGAAAAUAGAUCAAUCAUGGUUUGAUGAAACCUGGAUGAGUCGUAUCAAGACAGAAGUGGGGGACAACUGGCGACUAAAGGUUAGCAAUUUGAAGAAAAUUUUGAAAGGAAUUAUGGAUUAUUAUCAUGAGGUGAGAUAGUUUUGCUUCAGAAUUAUUUUGAAAAUGUUUAGAAAUAAUCGCCAUAAUUACAAGCAGUCCUUGGGUUGUGAACGGAUUCUGUCCUUGAGUCCGUUUGCAAGUUGAGUUGUCUGCAAGUUGGAGCAGAAUGCAGGACAAUACAAAAUAGCUGUUCAUAAGUACGAGGCAAUGUUUGUAUGUCAGAUCUUGAAAAUUGAUAUUAAUACACCCCUUUAUAGGAUUAUAUCCAAAAGCAUAAGUAUUCUUAAGUCGGACGUUCGUAAAUCUUGAAGCCCCUCUACAGUUUAAGGAUUUCAGUCUUAUCUAUAGAAUAUAUAUAUAGAAUAUAGCAUUCCUGUUAAAAAGAACUGAUCAUUUUGAAGCUUCUCAUAUUCUCUUGUACUUGCACGGGUGCAUGACGAACCGAAAUUGAGUGCCCCAGUUCUUGCACUAUAUUCACAGUCUGGUUUUCUGGUGAGGGUUGUUCAGCUGCCCACACCUAUUGGGAAUAUGCUAUUUUCUAAUGUUUACAGGUGGUGUUUUUUGUGAUGAGAUCAGAACGCAAGGUGCUAUUUUAAAAAUGUCAUGUUCUCCCAGUUA